rnacentral:piRNA from 1 species
CCCUUUCUUUGACAGAGUGUAGGCUCCACGA